CCUACGGGUGGCUGCAGUGGGGAAUAUUGCACAAUGGGCGCAAGCCUGAUGCAGCCAUGCCGCGUGUGUGAAGAAGGCCCUCGGGUUGUAAAGCACUUUCAGCGGGGAGGAAGGCGGUGAGGUUAAUAACCUCAUCGAUUGACGUUACCCGCAGAAGAAGCACCGGCUAACUCCGUGCCAGCAGCCGCGGUAAUACGGAGGGUGCAAGCGUUAAUCGGAAUUACUGGGCGUAAAGCGCACGCAGGCGGUCUGUCAAGUCGGAUGUGAAAUCCCCGGGCUCAACCUGGGAACUGCAUUCGAAACUGGCAGGCUAGAGUCUUGUAGAGGGGGGUAGAAUUCCAGGUGUAGCGGUGAAAUGCGUAGAGAUCUGGAGGAAUACCGGUGGCGAAGGCGGCCCCCUGGACAAAGACUGACGCUCAGGUGCGAAAGCGUGGGGAGCAAACAGGAUUAGAUACCCGAGUAGUC
rnacentral:rRNA from 1 species